UUCGCAAUCAAGGCAGUGAACUCCCCCUGGUGUCAACUCUUCGAUGAGGACGACGCUAAGGUCAUGGAUUAUACAAGUGACCUGAGGGAAUUCUGGACAAGAGGCUAUGGUUAUGAUAUCAACAGAAAGUCGAGCUGCAUUCUCUUCCAUGAUGUGUUCAACCGGCUGAACGAAGCCGCCAACGAGAGCAAGUAAGUGACCUUGAAAUGACUUUCGCCAUCAGUACAAUUUAGGGUUAUAUUUGUUAAAGAUUUUGUUGUAAACCUUCAGUGGAAUAGAUGAAAUAUCACCAUCUCUUUAUGCUUGUCCCCUAAAUGUGGUUGCUUCGCUGUUGUCAAAUGUUAAGUACUCAUAGACUAGUCGGUGUUCUCUCCUUUAGAUACAACUAUGGAGGUUUUAUGCAGAUAUAGGUGGGAAAAUAUACUUGUCUAUCAACCCAAACGUCAAAUAUAAUGCUCCUACUGUCACGGUGGGAUUAGGGUGGACCCAAAUGCACGACUCAGGAGCCAAUAAUGCAAAUAUAGAUCGUUUACUGAGAGCGUCGUCUGGAACGGAACAGACAGACUAAUCAACACACUGUGGAAGGCUCGAGGGCUCGGUCGGAAACACAAGACAAUCUAGUCGGCAGACGGGGACCGGGGAUUCUUUAGCUAAACGGCCCUAAACAGCUUCCCAUUCAUUCUCUAUGGCGGUGUCUAAAAUCGCCGAUGUAAUAUAUCUCUGGCCACUCGCAGCUCAGUGGCGCUGUUUUCAGAGUGAAGCUCCUCCCGCUCCUCCCGCUCCUCCGUCUCAUUCGGUCUCUGCUGUGAGAAGGACAGACUGCACGUACGGAGCUCUCCACCGUUGCAUCCAACAGAGAGAUGAGCAGACAUGUGUUUUACCCUGGGAGAAUGGCUGUUUCAUUCCAUCAGGGACCACAGGGAUUUCUCCGCCAGGAUCCCAGCGACGCAGCCAAAGUCCUGAAAGACAACCCGUCUCUGCAGGACAAGUCUGCAGCUGGUCAGGCAGAACGCACUGACUGUGGUCCGCCAGAGAGGAGGAGACGCUUCAGAUACAACCCAGGUGUCUGGAGAUUACAUCCUGCAGUUUGGGAAGUACAAGGGGAAGUCCUUCCGCCGGCUUCUGGAGAAUGACAUUGGAUACACCAUCUACCUCAUCAGGAACCAGCAAAGAGAGGAAGCUGCAGGAGUGUCCAUGGCAGCGGGGCAUAACAAGGACAGCCUUCUGUCCUUUAUCAACUAUUCCCUCAUGUUUCGAUAAAUCCAGUCUCUCCUCAACUAUGAGGAACACAAGCCAGUUGUGACAGCAGCAGCAUCGGAGGAUGACCAGCUGGUGGGUUUUGGGACUCGUGCCUACAGCACCUGGCGAGAGGUCUGGGAGAGCAGGGAGGACGGCUAUGCAUCCUUCAUCCUGAAGAAGAAGAACUGCACUGCAGGCACAAAGAUGCAUAAGCUACAACUCUACCUGAAGAAGAAGCUGCAGCCACCCACUGUCUCACCUGUGAUGUCACACGCCUCACAUGCUCCUGCUGAAGCCAUUGUGAUGGAUGAAGAUGAAGAGCUGGAGAGGAUGAUGCUGAGCAUCUCUCCUUCAAAGCAACAUGUGCAGAGCUCUGUUUCUGCAUCUUCGUCAUCCUCCUCAUCUGCCAGACGACGAGAAAGAGGUCUUUAACCCAGAGCACCGUGCUGCCGACCGACACAACUGGGACCAUGAGUUCCUCUCCCACAUGCAGCAGGACUUGUCUGGUGUCGACCGUGUUCUGGUCGUGUUUGUCUUUUGGUGUUCCGCCUGGUGUCCUCGUGACGAUGAAUGGACUCCGGUCCUGAUGAGGGUACGUAUCCAUCUUUGUUUUCUGAUGUGCAUGACAAGAAACUGCUGUGCUCCUAACACCUGUUGGCAUGUGUUUGCUGUGUGUUUGAAGUCAAGGUGCUUCCCCUGCCUAGGUGACAUAGUGAUGACUGGCUCCUGAAUAUUAACCCAUUGCAACAUGAACACAUGUGUAUGAAUGAAAUAUACUCUGUAUGUAAUAAUGUUAGAAACAGUCUGAUUGGAUUUGGCUGAACAAAGCAGGUGAAGUAAAGAUAUAUUCUGCCUUUACUAACAGCAGUUUUUGUGUACUGUCAAAGUAUAAAUAACAAACAAAGGUUUUUCCGUUGCAGUACCAUCUGCUACACAGGCAGCACCAGCCAAGGCUCAGGGUCCACCAGGAGAUGGUAAAUGGAUCAACAUUGUGCACAUUCACUGAAACAUGAUCUGUCCUGAGUCCACUGUGCAAGAAGUGAUUCUUGUUGUUUGAUCCUUCUCUCUCGCAGCUCCUGCAUCUCCAUCUGUGAAGAGAGCUGAGCCCGUUCCCCAGGAGCUCGUGUGUCUGAUGCCAGAAGCAGCACGUCACCCGUCAGCAGAGCCGACUGUCACACUUGCUGUGUCAGAGGCGCUCCUGAUUUCUCCUGAGACGUCUGUAGAGCCCGGUCAACUGCCAACUCCACAGAGAGGGCAAAGUGAGCCAUUCCCCAGGCCAAUAGCCGUCCCCACCGGUCCUCCUCCACAGCUUCCUGGCUGCCACCAUGACGUCAGCCAGCUGACCUGUUCACAGCAGCAGAGGAUCUGAUGAAGACGAGCUGGAAGCUAUGGGUUGCUUCUGUGGGAUGGGACUGAAGCAGGGCCCAAACAGCCCUCACAUUCACACCGGGUUCCCUGGGGUAGCAGGGAAGUACGUUUAUUGUCCUGCCAAAGUACUUUCCCUGUACAGAGACCAGGGCAUGGAGAAGGAGAUGACGUGGAGAGAGUUCCAGGCGUCUGCCUUCUAUGAGACGGGAAAAACAGAUGGGCCGUUGACAAGAGCAAAUAAGAGAGAUGAGCAGUGUUUUGUCAUGUAUAUAUCUUUUCUUAUUUUAAUAAUUACAUUCUUUUAUUAUAUAAAUUACAUUUGUUUUUAUUGUUUUUAUUGUUUGUGUGACCUUGCACUAUGGGCUGUUUGUUCAAUAUUUACUGUCCCUGUUGUGAAUAAAUAUAUUUCAUGGA